AUUUUUCAAAAAAGAAAAAAGAUCCCCUUCCUUCUCCUUUCUUCUUCCCGUCGACGUCGUCCCGCAACAACGGAAUUCAACCUCGUCGACACCGUCCCCCAACAACGAAGCUCAACCGUUUAACAAAUUCAUUUAGACUAUGAUGUCGUAAUAGAGUAAUGGUAAAAUUGGAGAAGCCUUAAUGAUUUUCGACCGAAUGAAAAUUCAAG
rnacentral:lncRNA from 1 species